rnacentral:rRNA from 1 species
AGCAGCAGCCGCGGUAAUACGUAGGUCCCGGGCGUUGUCCGGAUUUAUUGGGCGUAAAGCGAGCGCAGGCGGUUAGAUAAGUCUGAAGUUAAAGGCUGUGGCUUAACCAUAGUACGCUUUGGAAACUGUUUAACUUGAGUGCAAGAGGGGAGAGUGGAAUUCCAUGUGUAGCGGUGAAAUGCGUAGAUAUAUGGAGGAACACCGGUGGCGAAAGCGGCUCUCUAGCUUGUAACUGACGCUGAGGCUCGAAAGCGUGGGGAGCAAACAGGAUUAGAUACCCGAGUAGUCCCUGUCUCUUAUACC